rnacentral:lncRNA from 10 species
AAGAAAGGACGGAGGCUGUUAUCUAUGGCAGAUCUAUCCAAUAAAGGAGAGAAAGGACCGCAUACGCCUGGUUCUCAUCAUAUGCAAUAAAGAGUUUGACCAUCUGCCUCCAAGAAAUGGGGCUGACUUUGCCAUCAUGGAGAUGAAGAAGCUGCUUGAGGAUCUGGGUUACAGUGUGGAUGUAGAAGAGAAUCUGACAGCCAGGGUAACAACCCCUCAGCCACCCCAAACUCAUACAUAUUGAACACGCAUCCUUCUAAUAACUAGUUAGCUUUAUAGAAGCUCAACAAAGUUUAACAAUCUCUGCUACCUUGUGUGUGUGUGUGUGUGUGUGUGUGUGUGUGUGUGUGUG